rnacentral:rRNA from 1 species
AUUGAACGCUGGCGGCAUGCCUUACACAUGCAAGUCGAACGGUAACAGGGAGCUUGCUCCGCUGACGAGUGGCGAACGGGUGAGUAAUGUAUCGGAACGUACCAUAGAGUGGGGGAUAACUAUCCGAAAGGAUAGCUAAUACCGCAUAUUCUCUCCGGAGGAAAGCAGGGGACCGCAAGGCCUUGCGCUCUUUGAGCGGCCGAUAUCAGAUUAGCUAGUUGGUGAGGUAAAGGCUCACCAAGGCGACGAUCUGUAGCGGGUCUGAGAGGAUGAUCCGCCACACUGGAACUGAGACACGGUCCAGACUCCUACGGGAGGCAGCAGUGGGGAAUUUUGGACAAUGGGGGCAACCCUGAUCCAGCCAUGCCGCGUGAGUGAAGAAGGCC